rnacentral:rRNA from 1 species
ACCCUGGUGGCGAGUGGCGAACGGGUGAGUAAUACAUCGGAACGUGUCCUGUAGUGGGGGAUAGCCCGGCGAAAGCCGGAUUAAUACCGCAUACGAUCUACGGAGGAAAGCGGGGGAUCUUCGGACCUCGCGCUGCAGGGGCGGCCGAUGGCAGAUUAGCUAGUUGGUGGGGUAAAGGCCUACCAAGGCGACGAUCUGUAGCUGGUCUGAGAGGACGACCAGCCACACUGGGACUGAGACACGGCCCAGACUCCUACGGGAGGCAGCAGUGGGGAAUUUUGGACAAUGGGGGCAACCCUGAUCCAGCAAUGCCGCGUGUGUGAAGAAGGCCUUCGGGUUGUAAAGCACUUUUGUCCGGAAAGAAAACUUCGUCCCUAAUAUGGAUGGAGGAUGACGGUACCGGAAGAAUAAGCACCGGCUAACUACGUGCCAGCAGCCGCGGUAAUACGUAGGGUGCGAGCGUUAAUCGGAAUUACUGGGCGUAAAGCGUGCGCAGGCGGUCUGUUAAGACCGAUGUGAAAUCCCCGGGCUUAACCUGGGAACUGCAUUGGUGACUGGCAGGCUAGAGUGUGGCAGAGGGAGGUAGAAUUCCACGUGUAGCAGUGAAAUGCGUAGAGAUGUGGAGGAAUACCGAUGGCGAAGGCAGCCUCCUGGGCCAACACUGACGCUCAUGCACGAAAGCGUGGGGAGCAAACAGGAUUAGAUACCCUGGUAGUCCACGCCCUAAACGAUGUCAACUAGUUGUUGGGGAUUCAUUUCCUUAGUAACGUAGCUAACGCGUGAAGUUGACCGCCUGGGGAGUACGGUCGCAAGAUUAAAACUCAAAGGAAUUGACGGGGACCCGCACAAGCGGUGGAUGAUGUGGAUUAAUUCGAUGCAACGCGAAAAACCUUACCUACCCUUGACAUGGUCGGAAUCCUGCUGA